rnacentral:rRNA from 1 species
GACGUAGGGUCCGAGCGUUGUCCGGAGUUACUGGGCGUAAAGGGCGCGUAGGCGGUUAUCUGCGUCACACGUGAAAGCCCCUGGCUCAACCAGGGAGGGUCGUGUGAAACGGGGUAACUGGAGGCAGAGAGAGGCUGGUGGAAUUCCCGGAGUAGUGGUGAAAUGCGUAGAGAUCGGGAGGAACACCGGUGGCGAAGGCGGCCAGCUGGCUCUGACCUGACGCUGAGGCGCGAAAGCGUGGGGAGCAAACAGG